rnacentral:tRNA from 1 species
GGGCCGGUGGUCCAGUCAGGACAGGACGCAGGCCUCCGGAGCCUGAGAUCGCGGGUUCGAAUCCCGCCCGGCCCG